rnacentral:rRNA from 1 species
GACGAACGCUGGCGGCGUGCUUAACACAUGCAAGUCGAACGGAAAGGCCCUGCUUUUGUGGGGUGCUCGAGUGGCGAACGGGUGAGUAACACGUGAGUAACCUGCCCUUGACUUUGGGAUAACUUCAGGAAACUGGGGCUAAUACCGGAUAGGAUCUCCUGCUGCAUGGUGGGGGUUGGAAAGUUUCGGCGGUUGGGGAUGGACUCGAGGCUUAUCAGCUUGUUGGUGGGGUAGUGGCUUACCAAGGCUUUGACGGGUAGCCGGCCUGAGAGGGUGACCGGCCACAUUGUGACUGAGGUGCGGCACAGACUCCUACAGCAGGCAGCAGUGAGGAAUAUUGCACAAUGGGAGGAGGCCUAAUGUAGAAAAGCCGCGUACGGGAUGACGGCCUUCGGGUUGUAAAGCGCUUUCGCCUGUGACGAAGCGUGAGUGACGGUAAUGGGUAAAGAAGCACCGGCUAACUACGUG